ACACGCAGCCAGCGGCCCCUCCCCCUGCUGCCACCAACUGCUCGCAGAGCGGGCACCUAGGCCGUGCCAGGGCCAGGCGCCCAGUGACAACUCAGACUUGGGAAGGAGGCAGCGCUGGGGGAGGGCAGGCAAACACCACACAAUGCAAGAAAAGUUCUCGAGAGUUUCAAAAAUAUUUCUUUUGUUCACUUCAGAUGGCAGAAACAAGUCAGAACCCUGGCAGUUUAAAGCCAUAAGGUUUCUUCCCCUGUUUUCUCACCUACAGAAUUAUAAUGAGGUAGAGUGAAUGAGAUCUAUGGGGAGAGCGCUGGACCCAGAGACUAAAGGAUCCCAAUCGGGAUACCACUUUACGCUUAAUCAUCAUGUCUCCACAGGCUCCUCUGAUCUGCGACAGUUUCUCAGACUUCUCAUUUGCUCUUAAACACAGUACAGAAUGAGAUAAAAUAUUAAUUGAUAAUCUAAUAAUAUUAAUAAACACUCAUAUGUACUCAA